rnacentral:rRNA from 1 species
GACGAACGCUGGCGGCGUGCUUAACACAUGCAAGUCGAACGGAAAGGCCCUGCUUUUGUGGGGUGCUCGAGUGGCGAACGGGUGAGUAAAACGUGAGUAACCUGCCCUUGACUUUGGGAUAACUUCAGGAAACAGGGGCUAAUACAGGAUAGGAGCUCCUGCUGCAUGGUGGGGGUUGGAAAGUUUCGGCGGUUGGGGAUGGAAUCGCGGCUUAUCAGCUUGUUGGUGGGGUAGUGGCUUACCAAGGCUUUGACGGGUAGCCGGCCUGAGAGGGUGACCGGCCCCAUUGGGACUGAGGUACGGCCCAGACUCCUACGGGAGGCAGCAGUGGAGAAUAUUGCACAAUGGGCGGAAGCCUGAUGCAGCAACGCCGCGUGCGUGAUGACGGCCUUCGGGUUGUAAACCGCUUUCGCCUGUGACGAAGCGUGAGUGACGGUAAUUGGUAAAGAAGCACCGGCUAACUACGUG